rnacentral:rRNA from 1 species
UACGAAGGGGGCUAGCGUUGCUCGGAAUCACUGGGCGUAAAGCGCACGUAGGCGGAUUGUUAAGUCAGGGGUGAAAUCCUGGAGCUCAACUCCAGAACUGCCUUUGAUACUGGCGAUCUCGAGUCCGGGAGAGGUGAGUGGAACUGCGAGUGUAGAGGUGAAAAUUCGUAGAUAUUCGCAAGAACACCAGUGGCGAAGGCGGACUCACUGGCCCGGUACUGACGCUGAGGUGCGAAAAGCGUGGGGAGCAAACAGGG